CUUCUUCCACCGAUUGGAUCCAGCCACCAGCCACCUCUCGUGCCGCAUCUAGGCAACACGCUGCUCCUCCCAGAAAACACAGAGGAGACAUUGGGUUGGGGGACGUGCUGCUGCCAACAGCCCUUGUAGCUCGUGAACUCUUGUUGCUGCCUACGCCUGCCAAGAGGGGAGCAGGCAACCAAUCAGGGUAGAAGAAGGAGAAAAAAAAACAAUGUUUGAUAAAUUCUAGUGGCAAGCGUAUGGCGCCGGAUUCUCGACAAGGUUAAGGCAAGUGCAAUGACGAACCUCUUGAUGUGUGAAUAUUUUGUGACUUUCUUGCUGCCCUUGGGCAAUGUUUAUGCCAUGUCUCUAUCUCAUGUCAAGUCAUUUAAACUUCAUGUCAUAAUUUCUGGUUUUAUCAAAUGUUCAAGUUCUGUGUGUUGCCUUUCCUAUUAUUCAAGUGCUGGAGGUUUGAAUAUACCCCGGUUGUGCAAUUGGUUUUUGUUCAGGUUCCUGUGAAUAAGUGCCGGCCCCACUUAUUCAGCUUUGCCGGUAAAUACUAAGGAAGUUUCAGGUGAUGUCCGUUUCAGAUGGAAACUACUGUUUCAUUGUUGUUCCAUGAUUUCUGGAUUUCAGUUGUUCAUGUACUUGUAGUCGUUGUUCUGGUUCCAAAUUGUGCUUGCUGAGUAUCCCUACUCACUCUUGUGUUUAUUUGGUUUUUAGGUAUCCGCUGAUCAAGCAUGCUUGGAAAGGGAGUAGCCAAAUCACUAUAAAAAUGCACACACCUUGCUAUCCAUUAAAAAUAAAUACCUUGACUCAAUAUUUCUUUUGAUAUCGAGAACUGUCGUGUGGUCGUUUGGAUGUCGCUUAAAUUCAUUUGGUCAUGUUAGUCGAUGUGGAGUUCUUGAUAAUAUUUAUUUAUACCAUCUUGCUAUUAUAUGACUUGUGAGCC